AAACUCGUAUGCAAAAGAGAGCCACGCAGCCAUCUUUCAGACCGCAUCGAACUCCUCCUUUCCGCCGCCGCCGCCGCCGCCGCCGCAGCCAUUCAUGGCGAGGCGCCGCCGGGGAGGAUUCGAACAUUAAUCCAUGCUAUUCCCCACCCGUCCCUGUAAAUCCCAAGCUCCUGCCGCCGCGGCCGCCGUAGCUGCUAUCUCCAGCCUCCGCCUCUCCUCCUCAUCGCCGGCGCCUAUUCCUCCCCCGUAUCACGACGACAACCCAUUCGCCUCACUACUCACUUCCGAUCCCCCUCCGCCGGAUCCGCUCCGCCAGGUUCUCGCCACCGGAGACGUCCACGGCGCGCUGCGCGGCCUCCCGCGCCUCGCUCGCCAGCUGUUCCGGUGGGCGGAGGGCACCCCGCACGGCUUCCCCCGCUCCGCCUCCGCAUUCGCCGCCGUCCUUGUCCCGCUCGCUGAGGCCAGCCACAACCGCGCCGCUUAUCCCGUCUCCCUCCGCGCCAUCCAGGCCGGCCUCCUCCUACCCCUCAUCUCUCUCCUCCUCACGUAUCCCCUGUCCCCCUCCUCCCACCACCUCCUCAACUUCCUCUUACGCAUGUCCACCAAGUUUGUGUCCAAAUGCCAAGCUCAAGACCCUGCGCCCACCAGCUGUUCGACGCAAUGCCUUUCGGCCUUCCAAGAGAUGGCGCGUCAAGGUGUGGCCCCUUAUGUCAAGGUGUGCAACUGCGUGCUCGCUAUGUUGUGCGACGCGGCCAGGUGGGACGAUAUGCGUGCUGUGUAUUCAGAUAUGCUUCAGCUCGGGGUUGAGCCAAGCAUUGUCACAUACAAUACAUUGCUGGAUUCUUUUUGUAAGGCAGGGAGGAUCGAUCAGGCUGUCAUGCUCCUCAAGGAUAUGGAGACCCAAGCUGCUGGGUGCUUGCCGAAUGAUGUCACCUAUAAUGUGGUGAUCAAUGGGCUGGCCAGGAAUGGUGAGCUGGGCAAGGCGGCUCAACUGGUUGCCAGAAUGCGGUUGUCCAAACAAGCAUCAGCCUUCACAUAUAAUCCACUUAUCAGUGGGUUGUUGGCAAGGGGUUUUGUUGAAAAGGCUGAAGCUUUGCAGCAGGACAUGGAGAAUGAUGGCAUUGUGCCAACGGUGGUGACAUACAAUACAUUGAUUCAUGGGUUAUUUAAAGGAGGGAAUGUGGAGGCGGCAGAGUUGAAAUUUGUGGAAAUGAGGGCGCUGGGGUUGCAGCCAGAUUUGAUUACUUACAAUUCCUUGAUAAAUGGACAUUGCAAGGCAUGUAAUUUGGAGCAGGCACUUUGGUUGCUUGGUGAUUUGAGACGUGCAGGGCUAGCACCAACAGUUUUGACAUAUAACAUCCUUAUAAAUGGUUAUUGUAGAUUAGGUGAUUUAGAGGGGGCUAUGAGAUUCAAGGAGGAGAUGAGAGCAGAGUGCUGCCUGCCCGAUGUUUGUACAUAUACUAUUCUUAUGAAUGGGUCAUGUAAGGCCAAGAACCUUGAUAUGGUAAGGGUGUUCUUUGAUGAAAUGCUGAGUAAGGGUUUAAAGCCAGACUGCUUUGCCUACAACACGAGGAUUUCAGCAGAGCUGACUCUAGGUGCUAUUUCCAAUGGUUCUCAGUUGAGGGAGGAGAUGAUGCUGAGUGGAAUUUCUUCCGAUACAGUUACAUAUAAUAUUCUUAUUGAUGGAUUGUGCAAGACUGGUAGCCUGAGAGAUGCCUAUGUGUUGUGGAUGAAAAUGGUCAGUGAUGGUUUACAACUUGACUGUGUCACAUACACUUGCUUGAUUCAUGCACAUUGUAAGAGGGGGCUUCUAAGGAAAGCAAACAAUAUUUUUCAUGGCAUGGUUGCAAGUGGUUUGUCACCCUCGGCUGUGACCUAUACCAUUUUUAUUCACACAUACUCUAAGGUGGGAAAUCUUGAUUCAGCAUAUGGCUGGUUCCGGAAGAUGCUGGAGGAAGGAGUGGAACCUAAUGAAGUAACAUAUAAUGUGCUCAUGAAUGCACUAUGCCGGAUAGGGAGAACUGAAUUGGCUUAUCAAUAUUUUCAUGAGAUGCUGGAGAGAGGAUUGGCGCCAAACAAAUACACAUACACUCUGUUGAUAGACGGGAACUGUAAAAAAGGUAACUGGGUGGAGGCUGCAAGGCUGUACUGUGAAAUGCAUCAGAAAGGUAUUCAUCCAGACCAUUGUACACAUAAUGCCUUGUUUAAGGGAUUUGGUGAAGAUCACAUGCACGACACAAUUCAGUACUUGGAGAAUGUUGUUUUGGGUGCAUAGGACGGUCUUCAAGAAAGGAUCGUCUUAGCCUUGCUUGGUGAAAAACUCUAUGACAGAUGGAAUUUGGGGUGACACUCUGGAUAAAGGAGCUAUGUGAUUUCCAGACAGAUAGCACAAACAGAUUGUGGAGCGGCUUGGCAGGAGGGGACUGCCGAACUACGGCAACUGCAUUCUGCUCAUUACACCGUGAAACCACUGAACACCUUUUGACUGGCUGCGGAGGAAUUGCUGCCCUGGAGAGGUCUACAAGCCUGCACUCCAAGGCCAGGGUGUGAAUUCGGUCCUUGGUGGAUUGAGAAACAUGAGGGGAUUCAACGCCUUUGUCCUGUUGAUAGCCUGGACAAUUUGGAAAAAGAAAUGAUAUGGUUUCCAGUGAAAUUGCCUAGUCUGUUAAGAAGCUAGUGAGGACAGUCAAAAUACUAUAAUGCACUAGGUGGCGUGAGGUUGGAUAUGGCGAGAUGAGAAGGCUGCUUGUUCGUGGUGGUUUGGCAGAAAUUAUUUAGCCUUCCCUAGCUAGGCAUGCUUCUGUACGGUCAGUUUUUUCUUUUUCUUUUACCCUUUCUUCCUUUGGCUUGGUUCAAUCCAAAUUCGGCAGUUUGUUGCUCAGUUUGGGGGCAAAGUUGUAAGUGUUAUUUCCUAUCCUAAUAUGAUGUCAUGCAGGCCUACUGCAUGUUCUCUAAAAAAGAAAGAUUAGAUUUCCAGUGCAAACCUGUUUAAUUCACCUACAGUAUGUCUUUCGGCGACUCUUCGAAUGGUCAAAUUCCAUCCAACUUCUCCUCCUAGAAACAUUCCACAAGAUUAGGAUGAUAAUCAUGUGCACAAGCCUGGGGUCAUCUGUGUUGAUUAGUAAGCUGAUCCAGUGAAUUCUGAUAUCUGGAUCACCUGAUUUAUUUUCAUCCUGUUCUGUUUCUUCCGAAGUAAUUCUGAAAAUAUGGUUUAUUUUAGCUUCAGGUACUUUCCUAUGGUUAUUCUGACGGGACCAUAUUCAUGCUGGAUACACAAAGAUAUUAUCGAACCUAUGCAUGUUUGAAUUUGAUGUCCAGUACCUUCCAUUUGUGAAGUUUAGGCUCCUUGUCUGAUAUGUUAUGUUUUGAUGAAUUACUGCAAAGCCAUUUUGGAAUGGCAGUAAUUAUGUCAUGAUUUCAUAUGUCCAUGUUAACAGAUGCUUUCUCUUAGGCCAACUACUCUCUCCGGUUGGGUUUAUAAGUCGGGCAUGGAUUCUUAGGUCAUGAGUUUGCCUAUGAAAACAUGUUACUCCCUCCGAUCCACAUUACUUGUCGCUCAAGCGGAGUACAUCCGUUUGAGCGAUAAGUAUAUGGAUCGGAGGGAGUAUUACAUUGUAUAAAAAAUAUAUCUUUAGAUGAGUGUCAAAUGUAGUUUCUAACCAUAUAAUUUGUGUGGCAUAUUAUAAAUGUUUUCUUAGUCAAAUCGAAGACCUAAAAACCUGUGCCCGACUUGUAAACCCAACCGGAGGGAGUAUUUUCAGCUUGUACUUGAUCUUGGCUACUUUACAAUUUUCGAAUUAUGUGCUUACAUUGUCUUGAACAAAUAAUAUAUCUUUUGUUAAAGCAAACGGGAGAAGAGUUAUGGGCAAAAUG